GGGGCUGUAGCUCAGUUGGUAGAGCGCCCCGUUCGCAACGGGGAGGUCAGGGGUUCAACUCCCCUCAGCUCCA
rnacentral:tRNA from 1 species